ensembl:lncRNA
GCUUGUCUUCUGCUCUUUUCUAUAAGUAUAUUCACUUUAGUUAAAAAGUUAAGAAAAAACCCAAGGUGAAAAAUUUUACCUAUAGUUUAUGAUUCUUCAUCUGACUUUAUUCGUAAUAAACAUUUUGAAAUUCAAAAACAAGGAGUAUCAAUGUUGAAAAUGUGGGUUACUCAAAAGGGAAGAACCAGAUGGAGCUGAGGAUGCCGGAGGAUGAGUUAGCACCUUCCCUCCCUCUUUUUCCCCUGAAACACCGGUGCUUUGCUCAUCCUGUCCUCCCAUCUGGUUAGUGGAGAGAAAAUGACAUAGAAGAGGUGGGCACGGGCGGGAGGGAUGGAAUAAAGUAGCCCGGCACUAAUGCUGUUUUCUACUCUUGGGAGAAUCCGGGCUUUGAAGAUGUACGCAACCAUCAAGGUUAUCUGGAAGAACAUUGCCUUCUGGAAACAUUUCCAGGGAGAGCAUGUCAACAGCACAAUCUGGUUCCACUGCCAGGUACGCCUUGCCCGUGAGAGGAGGAGGGAAACUCAGCAAAGGUUGUUCCAAGGAACUCUUCCUUAGGCGUGGAGGUAGAAAGUCCAUGCUCUCUCACAGCCAAGGACAGUCUGUCUUCCAAGACCACGGGAUCUAGCAGACUGGGACUUCAUGGCUGUCCAAAGAGGAACCAGCACAGCUUUGGAGAAGGGGCUCCCUCUGGGAUUUAGUUACUGCUGGCCAGAAGCUCUUUUAGCCAUACUUCUCCCCGGCUGAGGAGCCCUGAGUGUGGUCAGGCAUUGCAAAGAAACUGCGCCUAAAAGCCCGGCCUGCUGAAGCAUGCUCUACAACACAAAGCUUUGAAGAGGAGAUUAUAUAUGUGUGUUACAACCCAAAUUCGAAUUGCCUUCUUCUUUUGCACAGACAGGAACACCUGCUCUCCCUCUCUGGCCGCCCAUUGAGUGAGCCUGCCAAGUGGAGAGUGGCUCUUCUUUUCAUACUCCAGGAAUUUUUGCUGGUUUGAACUUUCUUUUCUUUUGGUGAGGACGAUUGGCCCUGAGCUAAUAUCUGUUGCCAAUCUUCCCCCUCUUUUUUUUUUUCUUCCCCAAAGCCCCAGUGCAUAGUUGUAUAUCCUAGCUGUGGGUGUAAUUCUUCUGUGUGGGACACCGCCACAGCGUGGCCUGAUGAAUGGUGUAGGUCCACCCCCAGGAUACGAACUGGCGAACCCCAGGCCGCUGAAGCGGAGCGCGCGGACCUAACCACUAUGCCACUGGGCCAGCCCCGGGCUUGAACUUUCUCAAAAUUAAUAUUUCAGAAAGCUAAAUGAGUUUCACAGUGACUGAGCACUUCAGAAGUGGAGGUGCCGGGUGGGGAAAUAGCUUCGUUUGGGGAGCUGUUUGCAGCAUGUAAGGAAAUCCAUUUUUCCAGUGAAAAAGCACUGUCUUAAAAGAGGAUCGAAAGCAAAUGAAUUAACGUGACAAACACCUUCUGAGCACCUCCUCCAAGUCCGCCCCUUCCUAUGGCCUCCUUUAUUCUCAGCUCGCUAAGAAUUGGAUGUUGAAGUACCAGCUUCUCCACUUCCUUAUUGCCAAACUCAGUUUGUAGUCAGCUCAGAUUCUUUCACUGAAAAGGAAAUUAUUUGCGCCCCCUUUAAUUUUACACCUUGCCUGGCACAGGUUUGGAGCAUCUGUACUUUAACACACA